rnacentral:lncRNA from 1 species
GACAGAAGAUGGGGGAUGAGCAGCAUGCACGGUCUUCUCCCUAUGGCUCACUCUCUCUUACUGUGCUGGGCGCUUGCUUCCUCUCCUGCUGUCCUUGGGAGGCAGACUCCAGGUUCUUCAGCCCCAGCCUGCCCCUGGGGCUCUCGGGCCUUGGAGGACUGACUAGGAGCACACUGCGGGCCUCUCUGGUUUGGGGGCCUGGGACGUGGCGAAGCCCUGCGGCUUCUGUGCGGCCUGUUCUGGGCGUUGCGGUGAAACGCCAGCCAGUUCCCCAAGUAAGCUCCCUGCACACACGCCUGAUAGCCUGUUGGUUCCAUCCUUCUGCGGGAUUUUCACUACCACUCUCUAACUCACACACAGCUGAGAGAGUAUACGGGAGAGAUGAAGCAGUCCACUCCAAGAAUAUUGUCAUCCUACCGAUUACGAGUCCCCCUGGGAUUACAAGAGUGUUGAAGAAAUAUUGUGACACAUCAGAACACCGCGAAAUACAUAGACACUUUCAAAUCAUGGAAGACUCUCAAGAAGAAACUUUAGAAGGAAACAGGAAUAUUCAAUGGACUCCCAAGACAAGAACGUAGAUGUAUAUCAGAAGCUGAUCACUGAAGCUGCUACUAGAGUCUCCCCGAGCCCUUAUUGGAUUCUCACUUCAGGAGCUGCUUUCAUUAUUUUGCCUCUCAGUUUCAAAAUAGACAAAGAACUCAACACUCAACAAUAAGAAAAUGAACAACCUGGUUGAAAAAUGGGCCAAAGACCUUAACAGACACCUCACCAAAGAUGAUAAACUGGUAGGAAAUAAACAUAUAAAAAGAUGCUCCACAUCAGAUGUCAUCAGAAAAGUGCAAUUAAAACAACGAGACACCACUAUGCAUCUCCUAGAAUGACCAAAACCCAGAACACUGACACCAAAUACUCUUGAGGAUGUGGAGCAAUUCUCAUUGCUGAUGGGAAUGCAAAAUGGUACAGUCUUUUGGAAGACAGCUUGGAGAUUUCUUAUAAAGCUAAACUUGGAUUUACCAUACCAUCUACCAGUGGUGCUGCUUGGUAUUUACCCCGUGGAGCAGAAAAUGUACGUCCCCACAGAAAAACAAGCACAUGGAGGCUUACAGAAGUUUUACACAUAAUUUCCAAGACUUGGAAGCAACCAAGAUGUCCUUCAGUCAGUGAAUGGAAGAACAAACUGUGGAACAUCCAGACCAUGGAAUAUUAUUCAGUGCUGAAAAGAAAUGGGCUAAGAAAGCCAUAAAAAGACAUGGAGGAAAAAAUGUUCAACACCAAGACUGAACCCUAAUGUAACCUGUGGGCUUUGGAUGAUAAUGAUGCAUGAAUGCAAGUCAUAAAUUUGGAAAAAUGUACCUCUCCUGGGAAGGAGUUGAUAAUGAAGUCAGGGGGGCAUCUUUCUCGGCUCUUCACUGUGAGAACCCUGUGGAAUUCCUGAAGAUGAAAUCAUGAACGCGUGGGAGUCUUGCUAAAACUGCAGCAUUCGAGAGGUUUUCACUCAUGCUUGCUCACACUUAUCCUCUAGCAAUUCAUCAAAAUUACCACGACAAAGAAAAGAGACAUGCAAGUAUGACAGAAAAUACUACACACUACCAGGACAUUGAAACUGAAGGUGUGAACAACAGAGAAAAGAGAGGGUAAAGAAAAGGAAAACAAAGGAGACGUGGGAUAUGAAAGGUGUGUGCCAUGUGUGGACAUCAAGAAACGUUUUGGCUCCCACUUCUGCCACCAGUUGAGCCUGGAACCUCACUACUUGGAGUUGAGGGGAGGGUAGUGCUCAUUCAUCAUCUGUGAAAAUAGGGAUUGAGAGUUCCCUAACUUUGCCAUUUUUCCUCAAGCACUGGCAUUGGUUUUCUGAAUGUCAGGCUCUGUGUAGGUGAGUCCUCAGCUGAGCCACAGGCUCUGCAUUCCUUGCAGUCCACACACUUCAUAUCCUUUGUUUAUGCUGCUCAUUUUGGAAUUCAAACAGGUUGGUGGGGCACAUUUCAACAGAUAAUGACACACACUGACUGCUCAUGAGCUAUUUUAUGGUGUGAGAAUGUUGUGAUGUUAUGAAAUAGGAAGGCAUCGAAACAUGGGGACGUUUUCUAGAAGAUCCUUAGCAAAGGGUACAGAAGAUUAAGGUCCAAAUCUUUGAAAUGAUGUUUUCCAAAUUAUUGCACAGCUAUGUCAAACAAAAUACCUUGAUCCGGUUAAUGUUUACAAACAAAAAAAUAUGAAAUGUUAUUUUCUAGGUAUGGGUAGUAGUAGAUUUGUUGUGUAGUGGAGAUUACUUAGGAAGAAUAAAUUUCAACUUUACCAAGAAAGUACUAGAUUAAUUGCAUUAGGAAAUUGUGAAUUGCACUAGGAAAAUGCUCAUUCUUCUUUCAAUAACCAAUAUCUGGAUACUAUACUCUCUUGAAUUUCUAGGAUUUGCACCUGUCAUUCUAUAAUUAGCUUUCCAGUUUAUUGAAUGAUUUACUUCACAUACAAAUAUUUUCUAAUAUAUUCCGUGUAAAACAAUUUUAAAAAUUAAACAUUUCUCUAAUUACACAUUCCUCCCUAGCUGAUACAAUUUCAUUUAUUUGCUUACUUUCCUGGCCAGACAUUCAGAAAUUUUUUACUCAUAUUGUCUUCAACUGCAUAUUUGCCAUUUUCUAGCUUUUAUUUUAUUUUUAUAUCCAUUUUGUUCUAGGUGUGGAAAUUGCUAAGUGUAGAGCUUAAUAAUUUUUCACCAAAAAGAUAUGUGUCUAACUCCCUCAUGAAGAAGUAGUAUGUUACCAACACUCCCAAAUUUCCUUUGAUGUUAAAAAGCGUUAUUUUUCUCAAGAGUCUUUUUUUGUAUCGGUAUGAUAUAUAAACGAAAUCAUAUACACAUUUAUUUUUUCAUUUAGAUACUUUCCUUCAGUAUUACGAUUGAGACAUUAACCUCAGUUUAAGUAUUUAUGUCAUUUUCAUUGCUAGUUCAUUGUAAGAAGCAUACCUUUUAUUUAUCUAUUCCCUUAAUAAAUAUUCCUGUUUCCAGUGUUAGACUAAUGCAAAUAAGGCUGUCGUGAGCAUUCUUUCACAUGUUUUUCAAUGUACAAAUAUACGCUGAGAGAGGAAUUACUGAAUCACAGGAAGUAAUAUAUGCAGCUAUAAUAGAUAUUAACAUAUCCACCAAAUGUUUAGCGUUUCCUGUUUCAUUUUAUUCACUGUGGGGGAUGUAUAGAGAUUUCACAUUACAUUAUAAUUUAAUUUCUCUAAUGUCUAAUGAUGGGGAGCACCUUUUUCAUAUUUUUAUUGUCAAUUUGGCUAUCUUCUUUUUCUAAAUGCAUGUUCAAGUAUUUCAUCCAUUUUUAUUGGUCUUCCUUUUUUACUGGUUUAAAUGAAUUCUUUAUAUAUUACGGAUAUGAGCUCUUUGUCAAUUUUAUGUGUAUGCUUGUAUUCACUCCUAGUUCACUCUGCAGCUUGCUUUUUAUUUUUAUGCUUUUAAUAAUGAACAUAAUUUCUUGAUUCUAAUAAAUAUCAUUAUUUUU